AAUAACUUGUACAUUAGUACUGAAGAUUUGGGUAAAUUAGGUAUAAAAUUUACUUUGAAGUUAUUUUCUUGGGGAGUCUGGAAUGGAUUAAUUCAAUUUACAUUAUUUCUUAUGGGGAAAUUCGCUUCAAUUCAAGAAUAUUCGGCUUACGAACCGUCUCUGGGAACGGAUUAAAUUCGUAAGCUGAGGUACCAUUGUAUAUAGAUAUAAAUUUACAUGGAUACAUACACACAGUGUUUAUUGUUUUUCAUAUCCUGACUUUUUGAUUGGAGAAUUAUAAUAUCCACUGCUUGUUAAUGUGCAGAUGUUAGGAAAAGUGAGUAGAUAGAAGAAAUACAGGAAAAGAAAGAGGCACCAAUCAAGAGAGAAAAAGUAGAUAUGCACGGAAUGGGCAAUACAAAAAUGUUAAAAUGUAUGUCUGACCCCAUAAGUAGUGUACUUCAAUUUAGGUUUGGUGGUGUGUGCAAGGUAAUGACAUGCAGUGGAUGUGUACAUUUUCUUUGAAAAAAGUUAUGGGUACGCAAUGGAAAAUUUAAGAGUAAAUUGGAUGAGUAGAGAUUGAGGAGUUUCGUAAUUUGGAUAGAUGUUGAUGACGGGGGUGUGGUUCAGGUAUCAUAUGAGGCAUUGUGAGAGGUACUGGGUCUGCCAAACAGAUAUAUAGUAGACUGCUCUGGAUUACGGGAUUUAAAAGCAAACUAGUUCUAUGCAAAAUAAAAAUCUUGAGUUUUUUAAUUGUUUAACGUAGUAAGUGACAGUUUUAUGCAAAUUUUGUCAAUACUUAAAUUUGGAAUACUGUAUAGGAAAUUUUAACCCAAUUGAGCUGCAUUCAUAACAACCAAUAAGAAUAGAGAUGAUCUAAAUUAAAUUUUGUGUUGUAAUGCAGUUUUGUGUUCUUAAAAUGUUAUAUUAAAAACAUUACAUUCAUCUGAAUGUGCUUUCUAUUAUGGUAAUAAACCUUAUGAUUUACUCUAUUUUUGCUUAAUGCUGAAUUUUUGGUCAUGAUUUUCUCAUAAGAUCAUAAACAAGAUAAUACACAGCUCCUUUAAACAAUCCUAUACUGUAUUUCUACGUACAACAAAGAGUUUACCAUAUACUGUAAUAAUGACUUUGCACACAUUUUACUGGAAAAAAACAACCACGUCACACAAUGGUAUCAAUGAGGAACUGUUAUUCUUGUGUACAAUAUAACAUAAAUUAACAAAAUGUGGAGGAAUGUUGGAGUACCAGUAUUUUAGAGUUUAUUCAAUGCUGAAUUUUUAUUGAUUUAAAUGUGAGACUUGAAGCUAUGGGUUAUACCUGUCAGGAGUUGCAUACAUAUUUAUCGUAAGUAUAGUAAAUUAACUUCAGGGAUUAUUGUAACACUUGGAUAUAUCUGCUGGGUGUUUUAAUCAGUCAUAUUACUGUGUCUUUGUAUAGAUCAAGUUCUUGUGUUUAUUUUUGUUUUUUAAAAUUUGUCACAAUUGUUUUAACCCAUUUCACAGUGUGUGUUUUGCCCAGUUCGUCAUGGAAGUCAAAUUGUUUUAUAUUAAUAUAUGAUCCAAGUUUAAAAUUUCAGUUGGAUACAGUCUCAUGUAUAAAUAAAACUACCGCGCAGGAAAAUGCUGGAACUAGGUUUUACUGAUUCUUACUAAAUCUUAAAGGUAUUUUAAAUCUCACUUUAAGCCUUUACACAUGGUCUUAGAAUUGUCUGACCCUAACAUCAGAAGACCUGACUUCCAAAAGGGCUCAUAUAAUGUUGGCUAGUAAGUCUGGUAAUUAUAAAUGAAUGUAUCAUCAAACUGAUGACUGCAUAUAAGUUGCCAUUUACAUGGGAAUAAUAAUGUAACAGUACAGUGCGGUACAUAUUUUGUACCAUAUUAUGGUUUAAAUGUUGUGUAUCUGUAUGUAAAUUUGAUUUUGGUAUUAAAGUCCAUUUGUUAGCCUUUAAGCAUCUGUACAGUUAUGACUGAAAAGUAGUUCUUCAUAAUUAAUGAUUGUUUAUUAGAAAAGAGUUGGAGAUAAAUAUAGGAAUUAUGAGAUAGCUGAUAAUGGGCUAGCAAAUGUUUAUGAAAUACAAAACUUGAAACUGUAACAGGAAUGUAAGAAUACAGGUCUUACUACAGUACUUACGCAUCAUAAGAAUACAAGUAUACAACACAGUUGAUGAUGUGAAACAUAGUAAUUAUGUAUUUAUCAUGCAAAUUGGUUGUCUAAGGAACUAUUGCUUUAUUGUACAUCCACAUAUAUCCCACACAUAUAUACCUGUGGGGAAGAAGUGUGUGUGUGUGUGUGUGUGUGUGUGUUUGUAUUCACCUAGUUGUGUUUGCGGGGGUUGAGCUCUGCUCUGUUGGCCUGCCUCUCAACUGUCUACUACUGUUUCUGCUACAACUGUCUACAACUGUUUCUUCUACUACUACUAUUACUACUUUUUUUUUUCCACAUUGUGUGUGUGUGUGUGUGUGAGAUAUUUUCCAGGGUUUUGUCAUGCAACAGAAUGUGUUACUUGGAAGAUGGCGCAGUUUAGAGUACAAGUUGUUUAAGAAUUCAGGUGUGAAGAAUGACGUAUUUUGAAUAGUUAGUCUGGGCUUUGAAGAGGAGUUUACUCUAAUAUCACAUAUUGUAAAAGUAUUGUGUUCUCUGUGUCCAAAAAAAAAAAAAAAAAGUAAAUCAUAGCUUAUCCUCAAUACUCAUUUAAGGUGCUGAAGGAGGGAACUACUGUAACAAGAUAAUUACAUGUAAUGGGGCUCAUAUACCAGCUUGAUUAAAUAUAUCUUUAUUCGUGUUUUGCUUCAAAUAUAUUUUUUGUUCAAUAUAGAUACAUAUCUACUUAACCCUUUUGAGGUUUGUUAUCGCACAAU